rnacentral:rRNA from 1 species
AGAGUUUGAUCCUGGCUCAGGAUAAACGCUGGCGGCGUGCCUAAUACAUGCAAGUCGAUCGGAAGCGGAGCAAUCCGCUUUAGAGGCGAACGGGUGAGUAAGACAUAAGCAACCUGGCCACAAAGACGGGGAUAACACUUGGAAACGAGCGCUAAUACCGGAUAAGUAUCAGCGGGGCAUCCCGCUGAUAUAAAAGGGAGAGAAACGCGAGUGGAUGGGCUUAUGGUGCAUUAGUUAGUUGGCGGGAUAAGAGCCCACCAAGACGAUGAUGCAUAGCCGGACUGAGAGGUUGACCGGCCACAUUGGGACUGAGACACGGCCCAGACUCCUGCGGGAGGCAGCAGUAGGGAAUUUUCGGCAAUGGGGGGAACCCUGACCGAGCAACGCCGCGUGAGUGAAGAAGUUUUUCGGAAUGUAAAGCUCUGUUGUAAGGGAAGAAGAGAUAUGGAGGACCAUAUAGUGACGGUACCUUACGAGGAAGCCACGGCUAACUACGUGCCAGCAGCCGCGGU